rnacentral:rRNA from 1 species
CGAAGGGCGGGUUGCCCACUGGGCGUCGGACCCCUGCCGUUCGGCCGGUCCCCUUCAUUAGGGGCUUGGCCGUCCGGGAGGACCGGCGGGCUGGUCUCCAGUUCCCCGGAGCUGGGUGACCGGCUGGUAACCCCCAAUCCACACCAAACACUUUCCUACUGAAGCCAUGCGAGCAGUGGGCAUCGCCCAUCUGUUUCCAACCAAAGACAACUCUCAACAACGGAUAUCUUGGCUCCCGUAACGAUGAAGAACGCAGCGAAAUGCGAUACGUAAUGUGAAUUGCAGAAUUCCGUGAACCAUCGAAUCUUUGAACGCAAAUUGCGCCUGAGCUUCGGUCAAAGGCAUGUCUGUCUCAGCGUCGGCUUACCCCUUCACUUCCCUUUCGAAGUGGAUCUGGCUGUCUGGGCGCUGCCUUUCAGUGGGCAGCCCGGUCGGCUGAAGUGCAGAGGUCAGAGCGCGUCCCAUCAAAGGGCAUCAGCUAGGUAGGCUGCCGAAAGGCUGCAUACCGCUGGUCACCCGGGACGGCUGCUGUUGACCGGCAGGAAUGGGCCCUUCAGUGGGCCCAGCCCCUUCAUUUUCGACCUGAGAUCAGGCAAGAUGACCCGCUGAACUUAAGCAUAUCA